AAAUUGAAGAGUUUGAUCCUGGCUCAGAACGAACGCUGGCGGCGUGGCUAAGACAUGCAAGUCGAACGGUCUUUAGUUGAGAGUAAUCGAUUCUAAAGAUAGUGGCGAAAGGAUGAGUAACGGAUAGGUAACCUGCCUUGUGCUCUGGGAUAGCGUCUGAAUGUUUACAUUCUUCCGAAAGGGGCGGUAAUACCGGAUAAUGUAGUAUAUUUAAUGUAUAUUACCAAAGAUUUAUCAGCACAUGAGGGGCCUAUUCCCUAUCAGCUAGUUGGUGAGGUAACGGCUCACCAAGGCGACGACGGGUAGCGGGACUGAGAGGUUGACCCGCCAUAUCGGGACUGAGACACUGCCCGGACCUCCACGGAGGGCUGCAGUAACGAAUAUUGGGCAAUGGGCGAAAGCCUGACCCAGCGACGCCGCGUGCAGGACGAAGCCCCUCGGGGUGUAAACUGCUGUCAGGGAUAAGUAAGACUGGUUUACCAGUUUGAACUGCCCCAGAGGAAGUCACGGCUAACUUCGUGCCAGCAGCCGCGGUAAUACGAAGGUGGCAAGCGUUGUUCAGAAUCACUGGGCUUAAAGCGUGCGUAGGCUGACAUUCAGGUGUCCUUUGAAAUCCCCCUGCUCAACAGGGGAAUUGGGGGGCAAACCGGAUGUCUUGAGGCCGGUAGGGGUGCCUGGAACUCUUGGUGGAGCGGUGGAAUGCGUAGAUAUCAAGAGGAACGCCAGAGGAGAAAUCGGGGCACUGGGCCGGACCUGACGCUGAGGUACGAAAGCAUGGGUAGCGAACGGGAUUAGAUACCCCGGUAGUCCAUGCCGUAAACGAUGUGUACUAGACUGUUGUCAAUCUGACUUGAUGGCAGUCGCAGCAAAAGUGUUAAGUACACCGCCUGGGGAGUACGGUCGCAAGGCUAAAACUCAAAGGAAUUGACGGGGGCUCACACAAGCGGUGGAGCAUGUGGAUUAAUUCGAAGCAACGCGCAGAACCUUACCUGGGUUUGACAUGUUUGUAUGCCAUUGUGGAAACACUCUAAGGCUGCCCUUCGGGGUGAAACUUACACAGGUGCUGCAUGGCCGUCGUCAGCUCGUGUCGUGAGAUGUUGGGUUAAGUCCUUAAACGAGCGAAACCCUUGCCGUUAGUUACCAUCAGGUUAUGCUGGGGACUCUAACGGGACUGCCGGUGUUAAACCGGAGGAAGGUGGGGAUGACGUCAGGUCCUCAUGGCCUUUAUGCCCAGGGCUUCACACGUGCUACAAUGGGCUGUACAGAGCGAAGCAAGACCGCGAGGUGGAGCAAAUCGCACAAAGCAGUCCUCAGUUCGGAUUGCAGGCUGACAACUCGCCUGCAUGAAGUUGGAAUCGCUAGUAAUCGCGUAUCAGCUAUGACGCGGUGAAUGUGUUCCUGAGCCUUGUACACACCGCCCGUCAAGUCACGGAAAUCGGGAGCACCCGAAGUAGGCUUGCUAACCCGCUUGCGGGAAGCGGCUUCCUACGGUGAACUCGGUAACUGGGACUAAGUCGUAACAAGGUAGCCGUAGGGGAACCUGCGGCUGGAUCACCUCCUUU
rfam:Phycisphaerae bacterium SM-Chi-D1, complete genome.